rnacentral:rRNA from 1 species
CGGAACGUGCCCUGGAGUGGGGGAUAGCUCGGCGAAAGCCGGAUUAAUACCGCAUACGAUCUAAGGAUGAAAGUGGGGGACCGCAAGGCCUCACGCUCCUGGAGCGGCCGAUAUCUGAUUAGCUAGUUGGUGGGGUAAAAGCCUACCAAGGCGACGAUCAGUAGCUGGUCUGAGAGGACGACCAGCCACACUGGGACUGAGACACGGCCCAGACUCCUACGGGAGGCAGCAGUGGGGAAUUUUGGACAAUGGGGGAAACCCUGAUCCAGCAAUGCCGCGUGAGUGAAGAAGGCCUUCGGGUUGUAAAGCUCUUUUGUCAGGGAAGAAACGGUUCUGGAUAAUACCCGGAACUAAUGACGGUACCUGAAGAAUAAGCACCGGCUAACUACGUGCCAGCAGCCGCGGUAAUACGUAGGGUGCAAGCGUUAAUCGGAAUUACUGGGCGUAAAGCGUGCGCAGGCGGUUGUGCAAGACAGAUGUGAAAUCCCCGGGCUUAACCUGGGAACUGCAUUUGUGACUGCACGGCUAGAGUGUGUCAGAGGGGGGUAGAAUUCCACGUGUAGCAGUGAAAUGCGUAGAUAUGUGGAGGAAUACCGAUGGCGAAGGCAGCCCCCUGGGAUAACAC